ensembl:lncRNA
CUGGUUCUCCCUCCUCCUCCUCUCUAAUGUAUCUAUACUAGGCUGGUUCUCCCUCCUCCUCCUCUCUAAUGUAUCUAUACUAGACUGGUUUUCCCUCCUCCUCUUUAAUGUUGCAUUACUAGACUGGUUCUCCCUCCUCCUCUCUAAUGUAUCUAUACUAGGCUAGUUCUCCCUCUUCCUCCUCUCUAAUGUAUCUAUACUAGACUGGUUCUCCCUCCUCCUCCUCUCUAAUGUAGCUGUACUAUACUGGUUUUCCCUCCUCCUCUCUUAUGUAGCUGUACUAGACUGGUUCUCCCUCCUCCUCCUCUCUUAUGUAGCUGUACUAGACUGGUUCUCCC